UCACUGGACCACGAGAGUCCUGAUUUUGUGCCCUCUUUUUUUUCAUACACUAAACAAAACCAAAACCCCGAUGCAAAGAUCAAAAGGUACCAAAGAAAAAAGAAAUGGAGUGAAAGACUUCUGGUUGCUCCACCAAACCAACCUGCUCCUGCUCCUGGAACUCCAGAGGAAUCACCAGCAUGGAUCACAGUCCUACUGAAGAGGACAUCCCAGUCACGAGGACAGAAUACAAUGACCUGAAC